GCAGGCCGCGCCGUGCCGCCACCGUGUGCCACAUUCCUUCGUUGUUUUGUUUUGUUGGAAACCAAAAGCUGAAGUGAAUUCAGAGAGAGCCGACGCAUUCCUGCUGGCUAAGACCACUGGUAACUAUUAAACACGAUGAUGCACAUGCGGGCUUCAGCUCAGAAGGUUUCUCAACAGCUGUCUGCCAGAAGUGGGGAGGUGAUGCCAGGGGAAAGAGCACUCUGUGGGCACUCGGUGCCUCAGGGCUCUGCAGCUGGCGGCUGUGAGAGCAGAGACGGUGCUGGGGAUGGAGUAAAGGCCCACAAGGCAGCCCCUUGGUUCAAGCACUUGGUUCUCAGUGAGGCUCAGCCACGAUCUCUACAGCCAUCCUGACAGAUUGCAGUCUCCCCUCCUGCUGACCCCAUGCGUGAUGAAGAACCUACAGCUUCCCUGCAUGGUCUGUUUCAGAGUCCACCGCUUCCAGGAACAGCCCUCCCAGCAUGUGGCCUAAGCUUUUCUUUGCUGCAAAUGUAGAGAGUGAAAGGAUGCUCCCAACCUUUGUUAGUGGCCUGGACCAACAUCACCUCCUCUUAGGCAGCACUGAAAGCAAACAGAGCCAAGCAGGAUGCACGGAGCUCUCCUCCAGCCAGUGGCUCCGGGUGCUUCUCACGACUCUCUACACCCCUCCCAUACAGCGUUACAGCGUUUGCAUGCUUUGUGUGCCGUCAGUUCAUACAGACAUGCUACGUUUUGAUCAGAACUAAAGGAAACAGGAAUAGCAGGCUUCCCUGAGCACGGAGACAGGGAACGGCAGUGCUCUGCCACUGGGAAUUUCCAUUCCCACCCAGACACACCAAGACUCCAACAGGGACAAAAGCACGGCAUUCUGUUCGUUCCUUGAGCAACCAAAAGCAUUGCUGAAAUGACUGCAAAUAAAUCAGCCAACAACAACAAAAGCCUCAAAAUGAACAAGAACUGUCCCCUGCAAAGCUCAUAUUGCUGUCAGCGCUCUUCCUUGCAGAGGACUCACAUCCCUGCCGCACACCACUGGGGUCAACAACAAACCAUGCCCAGACACAUGGGAUGGACGAGGGGGUGUUAAAAAUACAUGGAUAUUCAAAUGGUUAGCGGUACGGAGCGCCAUGCUACAAGAGCUGACAUUGCCCAGCUCCACCAGAGGUUGUGUCUCAUUGCACCAUGGGCCCUGACGUGCCAUGGGAUGGCCAUGUGGGAGCUCCACGGAGGAGCAGACAUCUAACAUGAACCCAUUGCAGUUUCCAAACAGAGCCAGUGUGCUUUCAGGAGUCAUACAGUCAUUCACAGAAUCAUAGAGUCACAGAAUCAAAGAAUGGCCUGGGUUGAAAAGGACCACAGUGAUCAUCGAGUUUCAACCCCUUGCUAUAUGUGCAGGGUCGCCAACCACCAGACCAG